rnacentral:rRNA from 1 species
UACGGAGGAUGCGAGCGUUAUCCGGAUUUAUUGGGUUUAAAGGGUGCGCAGGCGGAGGUGCAAGUCAGCGGUCAAAUUGCGGGGCUCAACCCCGUACUGCCGUUGAAACUGCAUCCCUUGAGUGCGCGAGAAGUAUGCGGAAUGCGUGGUGUAGCGGUGAAAUGCAUAGAUAUCACGCAGAACUCCGAUUGCGAAGGCAGCAUACCGGCGCUCAACUGACGCUCAGGCACGAAAGCGUGGGUAGUC